rnacentral:rRNA from 1 species
UUCUUGGAAAAGGACAGCUGAGAGGGUGACACUCCCGCCCGCCUGGCAGAGUGAGUCAUUUGUCAACGAGUCGAGUUGUUUGGGAUUGCAGCUCUAAUUUGGUGGUAAAUUCCAUCUAAAGCUAAAUAUUGGUGGGAGACCGAUAGCGUACAAGUACCGUGAGGGAAAGAUGCAAAGAACUUUGAAAAGAGAGUUAAAGAGUACCUGAAACUGCUGAAACGGAAGCGAAGGAAACCAGUGUUUGUUUGUUCAUAUUUCCCUAGCCACUUGUGGCUUGGGCG